AACGACUGAAACAAUGCCCCGAAAUGAGCCACCUCCUUGCGCACACCCGACCAGCCUAUCUCUCUUCCUUUGUCACGUGAACUCGCGCGGUCGCGCGCAGGGCACGCCAGAUGCGCAGCACCAUAGCAGUUCAGUAAGCGUCUUCAGCUAGCAGGCAUGGUCGCUGACAGGCUGCUUCUCCCGUGCCCCAUCAGCCAGAUCCAUCUGUGUCAUCGCACACUCGUUGGCCGUCCAACUCUUGGAGGGGUCAGUGCUAGGCAUUGAUGUCACACAAGAUAGCCAUGUUAAGGAAGUGAAAUGAAACUCCAGCAACCGGAUUCAGAUUGUGCAGGAGGACCAGGAGGGCUGGUCUGACAUUUUUGAAGUAAAUCAUCAGAUAAAUACUUGGUUAUGUGAACCAUCCCAAUUACCUGUGGGACUCAUCCAGAAUUCCCUCUUAUGAUUGUAUGUAUUCUGAAGUGGAUGAAUUGAUUGUUUGAUUGAAAGCACUUUGGGCUCACAUGUUGCUGAACAUGCGGGGGUCUCAUUUCAAGUCUGAGUGAACGACACUUUUACACAUCUGUGUGUGCACCACAUGUCCCUGCAUUAGAACUCACCCUCCAGUUAGGUCACUUCCAUCCACCCACUGCCAUUGGCCUUGGAUUUUGCUCAGUCCAAUCCAGUAUCCAUGCCAUAUGUCAUAGUACGACGCUGUGUGUUUAUUGAUGAAGGCCUACAGCACAAUGAUACUGGUGAAAUAUUUAUUUAGACUGUAUUGGAAUUGGAAUUGAAACAUCUGCCCAGAAAUAUUUGUGUAGUGAAAUAUGUUCAAGUGCAGAUAAACCCAAAUUUGUUUUUGUGGUAAGGAAUUUUGA